UACGUAGGUGACAAGCGUUGUCCGGAUUUACUGGGCGUAAAGAGCGCGCAGGCGGUCGUUCAAGUCGAGUGUGAAAGCCCCCGGCUCAACUGGGGAGGGUCAUUCGAUACUGAUCGACUCGAAGGCAGGAGAGGGUAGUGGAAUUCCCGGUGUAGUGGUGAAAUGCGUAGAUAUCGGGAGGAACACCAGUGGCGAAGGCGACUACCUGGCCUGUUCUUGACGCUGAGGCGCGAAAGCUGAGGGGAGCAAACGGGGG
rnacentral:rRNA from 1 species